rnacentral:tRNA from 1 species
AGUCUUAUAGUUUAAUAAAAACAUAAAAUUGCAAAUUUUAAUUUGAAUAUUUUCUAAGACUU